rnacentral:lncRNA from 1 species
CUUCCGGGUCGUCUCCAGGGACAGGUACUCCACCCAGCUCUUCUUGUCCUGGUAGUUCUUGGACUCAUCCACGAUCUUCUGAAACAUCGCUCUCUUCCUGAACCCAGGGAACAAGGGAGGUGCAGGUGGGAGCAAGUGUGGAGACCCCGCCCCAAGCGCCCGUCUGCAGGGAGGCGCGGAGCCCGAGCGAGGCCCCAUCCGGGGUGCGCGGGGCCGGCGGGCAGGGACGGAAUCCGGGGCUGCGUCCCCCGGGCUGUGCCGCCGCUGCGCCCCCGUGUCUGCCGGGGGUCCCAGGCUACCCGCCCGCCCCGCGAGGCGCCCCCUCCCGGAAGGCGCGCACUUGAAGUACAGGGCCAGGUCCGUGGCGAUGAUGGCGAUGUCCAUCAGGUGGAUCACGUGCUCGUGCUGCCGCCGGUUCAGGUUCUGGUAGAUGUUCAGGGUCUGCGGAGGUUAUGCCCAGCGCGUCAGGCGCCCUGCGGCCACCUCUCAGGGUGCCCGGGGACCCCGCCCCUUCCGCCUCGGCUGCCUGUGCCUCUCACGCCCCCGCCCUCGGGCCCUCGGUGGGCGGGACCCCUAAUCCGCCUGCUGCUCAGGGCCCUCCUCAGGGUGCCCAGCUCUCCACCAGCGGCUCCAUCGUCGGCUUGGGACGCAGAUGGCCUCAGAGGUCACCACCGGGGAGCGCAGGGAGGGGUCCACUGAGUGUCCAGGUCCUUGGGGGCCGCUCAGGGCUCGGCUGCCCUUCAUUCCCCCGCUGGUGGGUCCCGGGCCGCUUCCCCUUCGGCUUCCACCCCACCCCAUGAGGGGCCCUUUCCAGUUGUCUUCCCCACAAGCGUUUUCCCAGGGCCUCCGAUGCACCUGCCCUCAGCCUCGGCCCUCCGCCUUCUCUGCGGACAUCGCCAGGAGGCUCUUCCUGCGGCCAUUGUGAUUUUUAGGGUCAGAAAAUUAUUUGGAAAUAUUUUUUAUUCUGCAAAUAUUUUCUAUACAUUUUUUCUUGAGUGUUUUCCCUUAGUAUUUAGUAAAACUUCUUUUGAAAAUGC